rnacentral:rRNA from 1 species
ACGUAGGGGGCGAGCGUUGUCCGGAUUCAUUGGGCGUAAAGAGCGCGUAGGCGGCCCGGAAAGUGGGGUGUGAAAACCCGAGGCUCAACCUCGGGCGUGCACUCCAAACUCCCGGGCUCGAGGCAGGUAGGGGAGAUCGGAAUUCCUGGUGUAGCGGUGAAAUGCGUAGAUACCGAGAGGAACACCUGCGGCGAAGGCGGGUUGCUGGGCUGACACUGACGCUGAGGCGCGAAAGCUAGGGGAGCGAACGGGA